rnacentral:rRNA from 1 species
GAUGAACGCUGGCGGCGUGCUUAACACAUGCAAGUCGAACGAUGAAGCUGGAGCUUGCUCUGGUGGAUUAGUGGCGAACGGGUGAGUAACACGUGAGCAACCUGCCCCUGACUCUGGGAUAACAGCAGGAAACGGCUGCUAAUACAGGAUAUGAUACAUGAACGCAUGUUAAGUGGUGGGAAAGAUGAUUUGGUUGGGGAUGGUCAGGCGGCCUAGCAGCUUGUUGGUGAGGUAAUGGAUGACCACGUAGGCGACGGGUAGGCGACGUUGGAGGGGGACCGGCCACACGGGGACUAAGAGACGGCCCAGACUCCUACGUUAGGCAGCAGUGGGGAAUAUUGCACAAUGGUCGAGAGCCUGAUGCAGCGGCGCCGCGUUUGGGAUGACGUCUUUCUGGUUGUGAACCUCUUUAAGCUGAGAAGAAGCGAUAGUGACGGUACCUGCAGAAAAAGCGCCGGCUAACUACGUG